GGGAGUUGUGGCUGGGCUUCUAGUCCAAAAUACACUAAAAUUCUUGUUGGGAUUUGGACAUGUUUCUCCCUACUUGGGAUACAGUUCUCUUAAAGAUUUCUUCCCAACAAUGACAAUGAAGCCAAAUCCCCAAUGUUCAAAUACUGCCUGUCUGGAGCGGCAGAAAGAAUACAUUCUUGCAAAGCCAGCCAGGGAUGCUGCGACAAAAGCCAAGAUGGAGGCUGAAGCCUCAGCUGUAGCAGCAGCAGGAGAUGUGCCACUUCAUGUCGAUAAUGAACGGAACAUAAGUGUUGUCGAUGAUAAUGAGCAAGAGGAGUGUAUUUCUUUU